CGCCGGGCUCGGGGUUUGGCUGCUCCCCUUCUUGGGUGGUGGGCCCUUCGUGUGAGGAGUGAAGAGAAAAUAAUCUUGACUCCAUAUUUCAGAAGCCUGAUUUAUUAUAUUAUGGUAUAUGUUAUAUUAAAAUGAUAUAUUAAAGCUGCACUAAAAGAAUAGAGAGCAAAGGAUCCAUCAGAAGGCUGGAAAGGACAAAAAGGGAACGAUAGCAAAAGCGACUCCGAGAGUCGGAGCCAGCUGAUUGGGGUUGGCCGUUAAUUAGGAACAACCAACAGAAACCUGUUGGUAACAGCGCCCAGAGCACCUCCACAGCCAUCAUACUGCUCAUUGUUUUCGUUUCUUUCCUGAGGAUUCUCAGCUGGAACAGAACAAUCCCAGCAAAGGAUUUUCCAUAAAUCAUGGCCCAGCCAUGGUGGCGGAGGCUCUGCAGCCAAAGGGGUGGAACGGGGCAGCUCUGGGAGGAAAGGACGAAAGGAAACCAGAGGGCAAUCCCUCAGGAAGGAGAGCACAGGGCAGGGAACAGGGAAUGUGAAUUUGGAAAGCCUGGAGCACGCCACGGCGCUGAAUGAAACUCCCCCAGAGAACACAGGACCCUGUGAAGGGAAAGCUGCAGUGGAGGAAGUUCCACAAUGGACACUCACCAGCAACCCAAAGAGACCAGAAAUCCUCUAAUAAAAAGGGGAAAAAUAAAAUAAUAAAACCCU